rnacentral:rRNA from 1 species
UACAGAGGUCUCAAGCGUUGUUCGGAUUCAUUGGGCGUAAAGGGUGCGUAGGCGGAUCUUUAAGUCAGGGGUGAAAUCCUGGAGCUCAACUCCAGAACUGCCUUUGAUACUGGGGAUCUCGAGUCCGGAAGAGGUGAGUGGAACUCCGAGUGUAGAGGUGAAAUUCGUAGAUAUUCGGAAGAACACCAGUGGCGAAGGCGGCUCACUGGUCCGGCACUGACGCUGAGGUGCGAAAGCGUGGGGAGCAAACAGG